rnacentral:rRNA from 1 species
UACAGAGGGUGCAAGCGUUAAUCGGAAUUACUGGGCGUAAAGCGCGCGUAGGUGGUUCGUUAAGUUGGAUGUGAAAUCCCCGGGCUCAACCUGGGAACUGCAUUCAAAACUGUCGAGCUAGAGUAUGGUAGAGGGUGGUGGAAUUUCCUGUGUAACGGUGAAAUGCGUAGAUAUAGGAAGGAACACCAGUGGCGAAGGCGACCACCUGGACUGAUACUGACACUGAGGUGCGAAAGCGUGGGGGAGCAAACAGG